UGUCAGGAUGAUGCCGCUGAAUAACAAAACCUACUUAUUCGAUAAUACCAAUUUCAGGAUGAAGCACAGGACACCUCCAGGACGGAGAAUGAGAGCCAUUAAGGAUAAUGGUGGGUAAGGAAACCAGGGAUAUGAUGUCAGGAAGGCAUUAGCUCAGGAUGGCACUUGGGCGAGUUUUCAUGGAUGAGGCAGGGAGCAUUAACGUAGCCGGAAAGCUGCAAACGAACCGGGAGCACUGUACAUACAGUGCUCCCUUUUUUUA
rnacentral:other from 1 species